rnacentral:rRNA from 1 species
GACGAACGCUGGCGGCGUGCUUAACACAUGCAAGUCGAACGGAAAGGCCCCUUCGGGGGUACUCGAGUGGCGAACGGGUGAGUAACACGUGGGUAAUCUGCCCUGCACUUCGGGAUAAGCCUGGGAAACUGGGUCUAAUACCGGAUAUGACCACGAGACGCAUGUCUUGUGGUGGAAAGCUUUUGCGGUGUGGGAUGGGCCCGCGGCCUAUCAGCUUGUUGGUGGGGUGAUGGCCUACCAAGGCGACGACGGGUAGCCGGCCUGAGAGGGUGUCCGGCCACACUGGGACUGAGAUACGGCCCAGACUCCUACGGGAGGCAGCAGUGGGGAAUAUUGCACAAUGGGCGCAAGCCUGAUGCAGCGACGCCGCGUGGGGGAUGACGGCCUUCGGGUUGUAAACCUCUUUCAGCAGGGACGAAGCGCAAGUGACGGUACCUGCAGAAGAAGCACCGGCCAACUACG